rnacentral:lncRNA from 1 species
UGCUGAUUGAUACGAAUAAUUGAGUUAUUUACUUCUUACAAAGCAACCGUUAAAGUCUGUUGAUUAAGAGAAAGAUUUUACCGACACUAACAAUGCUAUACAAAAAGAUUCUCUCAAAUGAGCGAGAUAACUAAGACUAAAACGGAUGUGGUUUUCUUAAGUAAUGGAUAUUGAAGUGAAUUGCUGGGUUUAGCUUAAGAUUCUCUAUACCAGCUAAUAAAAGUAAUUGAGGUUUUUACGACAAAACCGAUCUGUUUAAUUAAAUCAAUAGCUUUCAUCAUAGGAACUCAAUUUUUACCAGACGAACAUCAUUUCAUUUUUUAUUUUAAGAAGACAAG